rnacentral:rRNA from 1 species
GUGGCGGACGGGUGAGUAACACGUGGGAACCUGCCUCGAAGUCCGGAAUAACCGCGGGAAACUGCGGCUAAUACCGGAUGUGGCCCGAGGGCCAAAGGGGAGACUCGCUUCCAGAGGGGCCCGCGUCCGAUUAGCUAGUUGGUGAGGUAACGGCUCACCAAGGCGACGAUCGGUAGCUGGUCUGAGAGGAUGAUCAGCCACACUGGGACUGCGACACGGCCCAGACUCCUAC